AUUGAACGCUGGCGGCAGGCCUAACACAUGCAAGUCGAGCGAGCGGCGGACGGGUGAGUAAUGUCUGUGAAACUGCCUGAUGGCGGGGGAUAACUACUGGAAACGGUAGCUAAUACCGCAUACCAUCAGAUGUGCCCAGAUGGGAUUAGCUAGUAGGUGGGGUAACGGCUCACCUAGGCGACGAUCCCUAGCUGGUCUGAGAGGAUGACCAGCAAGACGGGAACUGAGACACGGUCAAGACUCCUACGGGAGGAAGAAGUGGGGAAGAUUGCAAAAUGGGCGCAAGCCUGAUGUAGCUAUGCCGAGUGUGUGAAGAAGGCCUUCGGGUUGUAAAGCACUUUCAGCGGGGAGGCGUUACCCGCAGAAGAAGCACCGGCUAACUCCGUGCCAGCCGCCGCGGUAAUAC
rnacentral:rRNA from 1 species